ensembl:snoRNA Gm23902 small nucleolar RNA SNORA70
CUGUAGCCAAUUAAGAUGGUCAGUUGCUUUCUUCAUGGGAACCUCGUGUUCAUUGGCUACAAACAGCAAUCUCCAUGAGAGUGCCCACAGCCUGCUGCCAAUAUGAGUUGCUCUAAGGGACCGUGGAGACAAAU